rnacentral:rRNA from 1 species
AACGAACGCUGGCGGCAGGCUUAACACAUGCAAGUCGAACGAGCUGGGGGCUUCGGUCCCCGAUGCUAGUGGCGCACGGGUGAGUAACACGUGGGAAUAUGCCCUUUAGUACGGAAUAACCAAGGGAAACUUUGGCUAAUACCGUAUACGCCCUUCGGGGGAAAGAUUUAUCGCUAAAGGAUUAGCCCGCGUCUGAUUAGGUAGUUGGUGAGGUAAUGGCUCACCAAGCCGACGAUCAGUAGCUGGUCUGAGAGGAUGAUCAGCCACCCUGGGACUGAGACCCGCCCCAACCCCCACCGGGGGGCAGCAGGGGGGAAAUUGGGAAAAUGGGGGCAACCCUGACCCGCCCAUGCCGGGGGAGUGAAAAAGGCCUUCGGGUGGUAAAGCUCUUUCGACGGGGACGUUGAUGCCGGUACCCGUAAAAGAAGCCCCGGAAACCUGCGU